UACAGAGGUGGCAAGCGUUGUUCGGAAUUACUGGGCGUAAAGGGCGAGUAGGUGGCCAUCUAAGUCAGACGUGAAAUCCCCCGGCUUAACCUGGGAACUGCGUCUGAUACUGGACGGCUUGAGUAUGGGAGAGGAAUGUAGAAUUCCAGGUGUAGCGGUGAAAUGCGUAGAGAUGUGGAGGAAUACCGAUGGCGAAGGCAAUCCCCUGGGCCUGCACUGACGCUCAUGCACGAAAGCGUGGGGAGCAAACAGG
rnacentral:rRNA from 1 species